rnacentral:rRNA from 1 species
GAUGAACGCUGGCGGCGUGCCUAAUACAUGCAAGUCGAGCGAACGGACGAGGAGCUUGCUCCUCUGACGUUAGCGGCGGACGGGUGAGUAACACGUGGAUAACCUACCUAUAAGACUGGGAUAACUUCGGGAAACCGGAGCUAAUACCGGAUAAUAUAUUGAACCGCAUGGUUCAAUAGUGAAAGACGGUUUUGCUGUCACUUAUAGAUGGAUCCGCGCCGCAUUAGCUAGUUGGUAAGGUAACGGCUUACCAAGGCAACGAUGCGUAGCCGACCUGAGAGGGUGAUCGGCCACACUGGAACUGAGACACGGUCCAGACUCCUACGGGAGGCAGCGGUAGGGAAUCUUCCGCAAUGGGCGAAAGCUUGACGGAGCAACGCCGCGUGAGUGAUGAAGGUCUUCGGAUCGUAAAACUCUGUUAUUAGGGAAGAACAAAUGUGUAAGUAACUAUGCACGUCUUGACGGUACCUAAUCAGAAAGCCACGGCUAACUACGUG